rnacentral:rRNA from 1 species
AAGUUCCGGAGCCGAAGCGAAAGCGAGUUCGAAUAGAGCGCUAAGUUGCCUGCAAUGAACCCGAAGCCUGACGAUCUAGCCAUGGGCAGGUUGAAGUGGGGGUGAAACCCCAUGGAGGACCGAACCAGUGCCUGUUGAAAAAGUCUUGGAUGACCUGUGGUUAGGAGUGAAAAGCUAAUCGAGUUAGGUAAUAGCUGGUUCUCCCCGAAAUGCAUUGAGGUGCAGCCUUAAUUGUUUCGUAGCGAGGGUAGAGCGACUGACAGCUCAAGUGGUCCUGGGGGAUUUGCGCGAGCUAUCAAACUCCGAAUAGCGCUACGUGAAGAUUAGGAGCGAGACUGCGGGUGAUAAGGUUCGUGGUCAAAAGGGAAACAGCCCAGAUCAUCAGCUAAGGCCCCAAAGAGCAUGCUAAGUGUGACAAGGAUGUGGGGACCCCGAAACAGCCAGGAGGUUGGCUCAGAAGCAGCCAUCCUUUAAAGAGUGCGUAACAGCUCACUGGUCGAGGAUCCCUGCGCCGAAAAUGUAGGGGGCUAAGCAUGCCGCCGAAGCUAUGGGAUGUAGCAAUACAUCGGUAGGGGAGCGUAGUCAGCGGGCCGAAGCUAAGUUGUAAAGCUUAGUGGACUGCUGAGUAGUGAGAAUGCCGGCAUGAGUAACGACAUAUUUGCGAGAAUCAAAUACACCGGAAGACCAAGGGUUCCUGGGGAAGGUUGAUCCGCCCAGGGUAAGGCGGGACCUAAGUCAAGGCCGAAAAGCGUAGAUAAUGGACAGCAGGUUGAUAUUCCUGCCCCGCGCAAUAUCGCUUGACAGAAGCGGCGACGCAGAAAGCUAGACAGAGCUGGCGGAUGGAAGAGCCAGUCCAAGGGAGCAGACCGGGGAGAUAGUUAAGCACGUUUCCCUAAAGUUCAGACCCGAGUGGGAGCCUCAUACGAGGCGAAGCUGUUGAAGCUCAGCUGCCAGGAAAAACCGCUAUGAAGAUAUUGAGCGCCCGUACCCGAAACCGACACAGGUGGUCAAGCUGAGCAAGCUAAGGUGAGUGGAAUAACUCUCGUUAAGGAACUCUGCAAGUUAACUCCGUAACUUAGGGAGAAGGAGUGCUGGAGACGUUAACAGUGAUGUGAAGCGUUAUCCAGCCACAGAAACCAGGCUCAAGCGACUGUUUAACAAAAACACAGGACUCUGCAUAAGACGUAAGUCGAAGUAUAGGGUCUGACGCCUGCCCGGUGCUGGAAGGUUAAAUGGACGAGUUAGACGCAAGUCGAAGCUUCGAAAUGAAGCCCCAGUAAACGGCGGCCGUAACUAUAACGGUCCUAAGGUAGCGAAAUUCCUUGUCGGGUAAGUUCCGACCUGCACGAAUGGCGUA